rnacentral:pre_miRNA from 1 species
AUAUAGGGCCUGAUCCAAAGCCCACUGAAAUAAAUGGGAGUCUUUCCAUUUACUCUAAUGGGCUCUGGAUCAGGUCCACUAUUU